rnacentral:rRNA from 1 species
UGAAAUUGUUGAAAGGGAAGCGCUUGCAGCCAGACUUGCUUACAGUUGCUCAUCCGGGCUUUUGCCCGGUGCACUCUUCUGUAGGCAGGCCAGCAUCAGUUUGGGCGGUAGGAUAAAGGUCUCUGUCACGUACCUCUCUUCGGGGAGGCCUUAUAGGGGAGACGACAUGCUACCAGCCUGGACUGAGGUCCGCGCAUCUGCUAGGAUGCUGGCGUAAUGGCUGUAAGCGGCCCGUCUUGAAACACGGACCAAGGAGUCUAACAUCUAUGCGAGUGUUUGGGUGUCAAGCCCGAGCGCGUAAUGAAAGUGAACGGAGGUAGGAACCCGCAAGGGUGCACUAUCGACCGAUCCUGAUGUCUUCGGAAGGAUUUGAGUAAGAGCAUGGCUGUUGGGACCCGAAAGAUGGUGAACUAUGCUUGAAUAGGGUGAAGCCAGAGGAAACUCUGGUGGAGGCUCGCAGCGGUUCUGACGUGCAAAUCGAUCGUCAAAUUUGGGCAUAGGGGCGAAAGACUAAUCGAACUAUCUAGUAGCUGGUUCCUGCCGAAGUUUCCCUCAGGAUAGCAGUAACGUAUUCAGUUUUAUGAGGUAAAGCGAAUGAUUAGAGGCCUGGGGGUCGAAAUGACCUUCACCUAUUCUCAAACUUUAAAUAUGUAAGAAGUCCUUGUUACUUAAUUGAACGUGGACAGUUGAAUGAAACGUUAUUAGUGGGCCAUUUUUGGUAAGCAGAACUGGCGAUGCGGGAUGAACCGAACGAGGGGUUAAAGUGCCGGAAUACACGCUCAUCAGACACCACAAAAGGUGUUGGUUCAUCUAG